rnacentral:hammerhead_ribozyme from 1 species
ACUGGCUGACGAGUCCCGAAUAGGACGAAAUGCGCAUCCUGGAU